CAGCCGCGGUAAUACGUAGGGUGCGAGCGUUAAUCGGAAUUACUGGGCGUAAAGCGAGCGCAGACGGUUAYUUAAGCAGGAUGUGAAAUCCCCGGGCUCAACCUGGGAACUGCGUUCUGAACUGGGUGACUAGAGUGUGUCAGAGGGAGGUAGAAUUCCACGUGUAGCAGUGAAAUGCGUAGAGAUGUGGAGGAAUACCGAUGGCGAAGGCAGCCUCCUGGGAUAACACUGACGUUCAUGCUCGAAAGCGUGGGUAGCAAACAGGAUUAGAUACCCUGGUAGUCCACGCCCUAAACGAUGUCAAUUAGCUGUUGGGCAACUUGAUUGCUUAGUAGCGUAGCUAACGCGUGAAAUUGACCGCCUGGGGAGUACGGUCGCAAGAUUAAAACUCAAAGGAAUUGACGGGGACCCGCACAAGCGGUGGAUGAUGUGGAUUAAUUCGAUGCAACGCGAAGAACCUUACCUGGUCUUGACAU
rnacentral:rRNA from 1 species